rnacentral:rRNA from 1 species
GAUGAACGCUGGCGGCGUGCCUAAUACAUGCAAGUCGAGCGAACAGACGAGGAGCUUGCUCCUCUGACGUUAGCGGCGGACGGGUGAGUAACACGUGGAUAACCUACCUAUAAGACUGGGAUAACUUCGGGAAACCGGAGCUAAUACCGGAUAAUAUAUUGAACCGCAUGGUUCAAUAGUGAAAGACGGUUUUGCUGUCACUUAUAGAUGGAUCCGCGCCGCAUUAGCUAGUUGGUAAGGUAACGGCUUACCAAGGCAACGAUGCGUAGCCGACCUGAGAGGGUGACCGGCCACACUGGAACUGAGACACGGUCCAGACUCCUACGGGAGGCAGCAGUAGGGAAUCUUCCGCAAUGGGCGAAAGCUUGACGGAGCAACGCCGCGUGAGUGAUGAAGGUCUUCGGAUCGUAAAACUCUGUUAUUAGGGAAGAAAAAAUGUGUAAGUAACUAUGCACGUCUUGACGGUACCUAAUCAGAAAGCCACGGCUAACUACGUG